GGUCGGAUAGCACAGUUGGUAGUGCGCAUGACUGUUAAUCAUGAGGUCGUGGGUUCGAGCCCCACUCUGACCG
rnacentral:tRNA from 1 species